rnacentral:rRNA from 1 species
AACGAACGCUGGCGGCAUGCCUAACACAUGCAAGUCGAACGAGACCUUCGGGUCUAGUGGCGCACGGGUGAGUAACACGUAGGUAACCUGCCCCCCAGUCUGGAACAACUAGAGGAAACUCUAGCUAAUGCCGGAUGAGACCACGAUCCCUUCGGGGGUUGCGGCCAAAGAUGGCCUCUACUUGUAAGCUAUCGCUGAGGGAUGGGCCUGCGGGCCAUUAGCUUGUUGGUGAGGUAACGGCUCACCAAGGCUGUGAUGGCUAGCUGGUCUGAGAGGAUGACCAGCCACACUGGGACUGAGACACGGCCCAGACUCCUACGGGAGGCAGCAGUGGGGGAAUAUUGCGCAAUGGGCGAAAGCCUGACGGCAGCGACGCCGCGUGGGUGAUGAAGGCCU